GGAAACAGGAAGUAUCUCUCUUCCCCUCCGCUCCUGCUCCAGCGGCACAAUGUGAUCCACUGGCAAGGAGGGACGCCAAUAAGACAUCUGAUAGAUAAGUCUUAUAAAAUAUAUAGAUUUAUGAUAAUUAAGAUUGAGCUAGCAGAUGAGAAUCCUAGUCAUUGGCCAAGCAGCAUUGUACCUAAUACAAGUUUCUGUGUAUUAAUUUGGGCCUAACUCGGGCAGGUGGCUGGGUAAAGCUCACACAUGGCGGUGGGCCUCAGGCGGCUUUUGGCGGAAAGACUUAAUGUAACAUAAUUCUUUUAGUUUUAUUUAAAACAAAUACAUAGUUUAUAAAAUUUUUAUUGAAAUGCUGAGGAUAAUACCUAAGUCUUCAUGCAUGUUUUGACUAUUUAAUAAUACAGCAGUUAAUAUGACUUAGCAAAUACGAUUUAUGUUCUCCCCAAAAUUUGAACAUUCUGUAAUUUUUCCCCAAAUAUGUUUCAGAGAAAAAUUUGCAUAGAUAUAUUUGCUGGUUGGUAUGCAAAUUUUUAUUUCCACUUUGAAUUGGUCUAUGAUCUUUUCACUUUUGUCUACCAUUAGUAUUUUCCAUCUAUAUUCAAAGCCAUUGGAAUAUAACUAGAACACACCAUAAAGUCAAGAUCUGUUGCAAAUUAAAUUUCACUUAAUAUUGGUAAUAUCAGCAUAAAAAUAGGGGUGACUCAGGAAUUGGAGUUACUCCUUAACUCUUAGUGAAUAUGCUGUAUCUAUCUUUCUGGUUUAGUUUUCAAUUUUCUGAUCUACUAAUUUUAAUAAGUUUAUUCAUUUACAAGAGCUGCUGUAAGAAAUUACCAGAGCAUCGUGGAUUAAAACCAUUCCUGAGUCUGAAAGCCAGAAUCAGGAGUUGGCAGGAUUUGUUGCUUCUUGAUUUUCUGUCAGACAACCUAUUAUCUAACUUCUGGCAGCUGCAGGCCAUCUAGGGAAGCCUCCACCUCCAUCUUCAUCUGAUUUGCUCCACAUUUCUUGCUAAAAGCCACAAGAUCAUGCAACAAUAUACAGCUAUCAUAUUGUUAUGCCCAGUUUGUGGGACACCAAAAAGUCCACCACCAAAGAGACAAUUCAUCAAAUGGAAAAACAAAAGUUUCAUUUAUUGGCAAGCUACAGCCUGGAUUCUGCUGGCUCAGGAGCAAAUGGAAUACAGCUUACAGGUCAUCCUAGAGAAGAAGAAAAAGAAGAAGAGGAGGAGGAGGAAGAGGAAGAGGAAGAGGAGCAGGAGGUCUCUGGGCUAUUCAACCUGACAUUCCUGAUCAUCAAGGCAGUGUUGGACAUAGACUCUCUCAAGUGUCAAGGGCCUAAAAUUAGACCAGUCAUUGUUGGCAACUCCCACAUGUACUGCACUUUCAUUACCCCAGGACAUUUUUCAGGCAGUAUAAAUGGUUUGUCCUCCCCAUCUUCCUUUGUGUCUGAGAGUAUCCAAAAAGAUAUUAAAUUCUCCAUCAGUAAGAAAAUCCAAGCUGAGCUGUUUCUCUAAUAAUGUCUCUCAUCCUGAGGUCAAGAAAGCUUCUAAUCCAGUCAAGUGAUUUACAGAGGUCCAUCUUUUAAGGAAUAUUUGAGGUUCACUUAGAAAGAUCAGCAACAGGCAAAUUACAGCAGAGUGGUUAAAUAUGUACAGAAGCAGCUGGAUCAGAAACUCAGAAGGGACAGACUUCAAACCCUAACUAUGUCAAAUGGGAUAAAUUGUGACCUCAAAUUACAAAACAGCCAUUUAAAUUUCUAUGUGAACCAAUAAACUAUUUUAAC
rnacentral:lncRNA from 1 species